GGGGAUAUAUCUCAGUUGGUAGAGGGCUUGCCUUGCAUGCAUGCACAAGGCUCUGGGUUCAAUCCCCAGCACCA
rnacentral:tRNA from 1 species